rnacentral:rRNA from 1 species
CUACGGGUUGCACCAGUGAGGAAUAUUGGUCAAUGGACGCAAGUCUGAACCAGCCAUGUCGCGUGCAGGAUGACGGCCCUAUGGGUUGUAAACUGCUUUUUUACAGGAAUAAUUGCUUUUACGUGUAGAAGUUUGAAUGUACUGUAUGAAUAAGGAUCGGCUAACUCCGUGCCAGCAGCCGCGGUAAUACGGAGGAUUCGAGCGUUAUCCGGAUUUAUUGGGUUUAAAGGGUCCGUAGGCGGCUUUUUAAGUCAGUGGUGAAAUCCCAGAGCUCAACUCUGGAACUGCCAUUGAAACUGAAGAGCUUGAAUAUGGUUGAGGUAGGCGGAAUACGUUAUGUAGCGGUGAAAUGCAUAGAUAUAACGUAGAACACCAAUUGCGAAGGCAGCUUACUAAGCCAUUAUUGACGCUGAUGGACGAAAGCGUGGGGAGCGAACAGGAUUAGAUACCCCCGUAGUC